ACUAGGAUUAGAUACCCUACUAUGCUUAAGCACCACUAAGACACAAUCCGCCAGAAGAUUACGAGCGAAAGCCUAAAACUCAAAAGACUUGACGGUGUCCCAACCUUCCUAGAGGAGCCUGUUCCAUAAUCGACAACCCCCGAUACACCUAACCACCUUUAGCAUAUUCUCAGCCUAUAUACCGCCGUCAUUACAGCCUACCUUUUAAAAGAAUUCAAGUAGGCUAAAUAGUAACAUACUAACAAGUCAGGUCAAGGUGUAGCUUAUACGGUGGAGGCAAUGGGCUACAUUAUUUAUAUUAAAACAUACGAUU
rnacentral:rRNA from 1 species